rnacentral:lncRNA from 1 species
AUAAGGAAAGCAACACCCGAAAGGCGUAGAGCUACUCCGGUGAGAGAUCACGGGGAGAACUCGAAGCCUGCGGAUCAGCAACUCUGGCCGGCCAGAAACCGGAAAGGGAAUUCCGGUCCGGGUUCGGGUUCAAACCUGUUGUCUAGGAGCUUUGAUUAUAGUGGUGAAAGGAAGGAUUUUGGAUCUGGGGCAGUGCUGGCUAAGUCACUGCAACAAUCAAUGAUGUUUGAUGAGAGUAGCAGAAGGGUUUCUUUUGAUGGUGGUAGUAGAUUGAGUUUAGAUUUGGGUAGCUCCGAGUUGUUAAAAGAAGCUAAUAAGCUAAACCCAGAUUCCAAUUCUUUAAUUGAGACUUCUAAUGAACUCACUGCAUCUGAUACAGAUAGUAUAUCAUCUGGGAGCACCAAUUCUGGAACUGGAAGAAGUGGGAAUUUGAAAGGGAAGAAUGGACCCCGUAAUAUUGUUGUGUCUGCAAGGUUUUGGCAGGAAACUAAUAGCAGGUUGAGGCGGUUGCAGGACCCGGGUUCACCUUUGUCUUCGAGCCCAGGGUCUAGAAUUGGUUCACCAGCUAAGUUUAGUCAACCAAGAAGGGUUUCUUGUGACAGUGCAGUGGCUUCUCCUAUUAGGUGUAGUAUAAGACCUGCUUCUCCUAGUAAGCUUUGGACAUCUUCGGCUUCGACUCUGACUCCGUCGAGGGGACUAAGUCCUGGUCGAGUUAGAAAUGCAGUUAGUGGUAAAGAGAUGAUUAGUAAUGCUGUUAAUACCCCUUCGAUUCUUAGCUUUUCCGUUGAUAUUCGGAGAGGGAAGAAGGGAGAGGAUCGAAUUGUUGAUGCUCAUACAUUGAGGCUUUUUUAUAACGGUUACUUGCAAUGGAGAUUUGCAAAUGCAAGGGCGGAUGCAGCUUUCAUUGUGCAAAAACUGAGUGCUGAGGUAUGGUUAUCCUGCCUUCUCAUUGCUCUUAAUACGUUCAAUGUUCUUGUAUGCUUAUGUGUAUUUGAUGAAUUCUUCAACUUAUUUCACCAGUUUUAGUUUGGCAAACAAGCUGAACCCAACUAGUUUAUGGUAAAGGUUGCCUAUAAUGCAAGUGGCAGCUUAGUUCUUGCAAUAUGGUACUCCUUGGAGAGUAUCAUGUAGUCUUCUCCUAUAUGGUAUCACAUGAUUUGUUUACGUGCUACUGCUACAUAAAUUACCUGUAGUUCCUAAGGAAAGCAUGUCCAUGUCCAGUUGUCCUUUUUAUAUUUGCUAAGAGAUUAAAUUUAAUGACGGAAGGAUCUUGAGGCAAUAUAUUGUCAUACUUUUGAAUAGUAAAAUCCUUGAUGUGAUCGAUGAUUGGUGAGUUGGCUCCAUUCUGAAGGUAAGAGUUAGUACUCUAGGCAGCUUUGGCACAGUACUUAUCGGCUCAAGAUGAUGCAAAAUCAUUGAGAAAUACAUACUUAUGAAUGUUAUAUAUAUACACAUACAUAUGUGUAUGCAUAUACUGUUGUAAAUUUGCUUAGUGGAAUGUGUUGUGGACUUAUUGGAAGAAGGCAAAUUAAAGAUAUGCCUGGCGAGGAAUUAUUUAAAUGUUUUUGGGUUCAAUUAGUGUCUGUCAUAAACUGGACAUGGUGCUCUUAAUCUGUUCUUGGCAAGAGAUAAGUGAACUACGCUGACUGUAUUUUCAGUUAAAAGGGCCUAUUUAAAGAUUUACUGGUAGAAUAGAACUAGUGCCCUGCUUUUUAAAUUCUUCAGGAUGUCAUCACUUCUCUGGUAACAGCCUAUAUAAUAAACUGGAAUUUUACUAACCGUUUGCUGUAAUUAUCAGUUUGAUAUUAAAAAGAAAACAAUAAUCAUGAGUUGAGGUUUAACAUGAUGGUUGAUAAUAAAUCUGGUUUGUUCACCUCUAAUGUUCCUUCACUUGUAUCAGAAAAAUCUGUGGAAUGCAUGGGUAACAACUUCGGAACUGCGGCAUUCUGUGACCCUGAAGAGAAUAAAGUUGCUACUGCUGAGGCAAAAGUUGAAAUUAACUUCCAUCUUGAAAAGACAAGUAAGAUUCAAAACUUCAAGUUUCUCGAAGUGUUAAACUUAAUCCUUGUAGACUCUUUCAUAGACAAAACUGUUUUUAACUAUCUGAUUAUAGCUUUACCUUCAUAUUAUCAUAUCAUACACGUAUUUCAUGUCUGUAUCCAUGCUUUCAUUAAAAGAAAAAAUGACUACAUUGUUAGGAAUUAAUAUGAUGAGAAUGAAAUCAUCAAUCUAGGAUCUGGUCUUAUAAUGAGGAAUUCUUUAGUUUCUUUGCCUGGCCCUUAAUAUUUAAUAAUCCACUUAGAUACCUGCUUUGAAGUAGUUAAAAUUCACUUGCAUAAAAUGAGUAGGUGCUCAAAUAAUUGGUACUAAUUAAGACAUAAAACACAGAAAAAUGGAAAACUAGAUGUACUAUUCUUGUUGACUGUAGAGAAUGGGUCAGUGUUUGAGUUUUUUAAAAUUUCGUGCGCCUUCUGGAGUUAAGAGGAAGUCAGAAAGAAAAUGAGUGAAUAAGAACCCAAGGAAAGUUAGAGAAGAAAAAUUGUGUACUUUAUAUUUCAUUCCGAAAGGAAAAAAUUCGAACCUCAGUUCUUACUGCAUACUUGUUAGAACAGACCUGUCCUUUCUAUUCUCAGUUACAAGAUGCUGGCUUUUAUAGCAUGAAUUCUCUUCUUGACUUAACUUUUUUGUAAUUGGUGAGUGUAGAUAGCUCAUUUAGAAGCAUGGUCCCUCCUCGAGAGAGACCACUCUAGCUCUUUGCUAGGAGCAACUGAAGCUUUAAAGGCUAGUACUCUUCGACUUCCAAUUGUUGGAAAAGCAACAGUAAGUUUCUUCCUUAUUCUUUUCUUUUCCCGUAUUUUCCAUAUACGAUGUGUUGAUGAUUCAAUUCGUGACUAUAUCAUAGUUUAAAAUGUUGUUCGUUUCUCUUCCCUUUCUCUGUUCUCUCAUAAUAGGCUGAUAUCCAAAAUCUGAAGGAUGCAAUCAGUUCAGCAGUUGAGAUGAUGCAGGCAAUGGCAUCUUCAAUAUGCUCACUGUUGUCAAAGGUAAAAUUCAUUAAUUCAAUCUCAUGGGCAUUAGUCUUCCAAAAUAAAAAUCAUCGAGUUGUUUUAUAUGGUAAUUAUUUGUAAUAGUUCAGUUCUCUACAGGCUGGUUGUAUCUUGUGGUGGCCUGAUUGCGGCUCAUCAAUAAAAGGGCAAAUCUACCUGAUUAUCUAAAUCUUAUUUGUCCCUUGCAGGUGGAGGAAAUGAAUUCUUUGGUAGCAGAACUUGCGAGCUUGGCUGCAAAGGAAACUGUUUUGCUUGAACAUUGUAAGGAUUUUUUGUCUGCAUUAGCAGCCAUUCAGGUAAAUACGGUGUUCUGUUUUAUGUUCCAAGCUUUUCUCAGCUUUCAUCUGCUCAUGUGGCUCAUUAGAAGUCUUUUCAACAGGUUAAGGACUGUAGCUUGAGGUCACAUAUAAUACAACUAAAGUGUGUACCUGCGACCAACAACCUGACCACACUUGUGUAGAACUGAUCUUAUUUGACAACUCACCCUAAACGCUAACAUUACCCCCAAGCUUAUGUUUCUUACAGUAGGCAGAGGCGGCACCGGACAAAAUCACGGCAGACUGAAUAUAUCUAGGUUUGGCUUCUCUCAUUUUAGCAGUUCUAGAACCAGUUGUUGUCUUUCAUGAUCAAGUGGCUUAUCCUCUCAACUGAUUUCUCAUUUCUGUAUACAAGAACCCCAUGAUUUUUUGGUUUUUUUUCCCACUUUUUAGGUAAAAGAAAGCAUUGUAUAUAUAUGUAAGUUCAUCUGAUAACCUAUUAUUAUGUAUUUCUUGAUCUACACUGAUUAAUCAUCUAAGAAUGAUCUUGUUGAUGCCUGUUAAAUCAUAUACUGCCCUUUUCCAUCGUCUCUAAUGUCAUUGAACCGCAUACACAUUGAUGUGGUGUUGCAUGAUUCGAGUGCACAAAAACAAAUCAUGUUUCCUAUCUGAAUUGAUUAAGCCUUGUUGAGGAAACAGCUAUAUACCCCAUUCAAGAACUGUGAAGGGGGCAAUUUCUGUCUAGAGGAUGGAGCAAAUACCAUAUUAGUGUUUCAGUCAUGCUGGUAUUUGUUUUGUUUUCCUACUUAGGCUAUCUCAAUCUAGGAUCAGGGCGUGCCACUAGUUUCAUAGAGGGCUGAUAGUUGUACUUGCAUAGUAUCCAUCAAAUGAUAUAUUGCUGAUGAGAAUCAAAUGUUGGUGCUUGUUCAAUCAAUUGGAUCAACCUAACCCUUGGUUGACAGGAUUUACCAUUUUCAUUUCAUUUUACUUUAGAAAUAUGCCAAUCAGCCUGGCAUUCACCAUGUCAUUUUCCUUAUGAAUGUCAAAAGGGGUACUAAUGACCAUUGGUUUUAACUUUUUCUAUGCCAAAAUGAGGUGAAAGAGACACCUAGUAUGGCACAAAGUAAAAGAACAAGGUUAGGCCUUAAGUUGAUGUUGACCACACAAAUAAUGCCUUAGAGGGUGAGGGAUUCACCAUUGUUUUUUGAGUAAUGAAUAUAUAGAAAUAAAAGAGAAACAAGGUUUAGGAAAGGUGGCUUAAUUGAGCAGCAAUAUUUCAGCAGAGUUACAUGAGGUUGAGUGUUUUAUGGUGGAGCAAAUAUUAGUAUUAUGAUCUUUAGCUACCACUUUUGAGGCCAUAUCAAAAUCAAACCUUUAAAAUGGGUCGAUUAAGGCUAAAGCCAUUUCAGACAUGCUCAAAUAAAGAUUUUGACACACUUUAUUAGCUGUUUUUUUUUUCCUUUAAAAUUCAGUGAACUCACAUAUAAUAAUGUCCCAUUAUAUGAUUUAAUAAAGUAUUAAAUUGUAUGGGUUUCUAGAAGGGAUAAAUCUCAAAAUUAUAUGUGAACUUUGAUUUUAUAUGCAAUUAUUUUACAUGAAUUUUGAUUUUGUGUAAUUUUAUAACAUCAGUUUAUGUUUAUAUAUUGCAUAAGAAAUAAUUUUAUUUAUUCAAUAUAAAAAUAAAUUGAUGUAUUUAUUUUUUUAAACGCGUAUGAUUGAAUUAAAAUUAAGUUUCAUGUAUAUAUUCGAACCGCAAUCAAAGUUUCAUGUGUAUAAUUACAUUAAAUUAAAAUUCAUAUAUACAAAUACACAUUAAAAUAAAGUUUAUGUAUUCAUCUCUUUCUAAGUUAGAAUGUAGGUUGUUCUUCUCUUCCUUCCAACUGAGAAAGUGAAUCUUUCUUUUGUCUGCCUUGUGCUUCCACCAAAAAUUUCGGACAGCUUUGUCAAUAGAAUUACAAACAUUUAUAGGGCCGUGCGGAUUUGAUUACUGUUCAUUUUCCACCCGGUUAGAGGAAUCUCGCUCUUCAAUUCUGAAUCUGCCUUGGAUUUUGUCAAAAACGGAUGGGAAAAACUUCUUCUACGACAAGAAAUAAAGACUUAGCUCCAUUCAUCGAUUCAUUUUUUAUUCACAUUUAGGCCCAUUUAGAGGCAACAUUCCUUUCACAUUUUAACCAAGCAACUUUAUUUAUGCUUAUUUUAAUACAUAUCAUAUUCAUGAAACGAUAUUGCAUUAAUAAUAAACACUUAGUCCUUAGUAAACUCUAGCGGAAUGAGACUCAUAUAUUUACGAUUCUAAAUGAUCACAUCACACAUAUUCCACCAAUUAUGCAUCCAACUAAUGACCCAAGAUGCACUAAAGUGCUAUGGUGUAAGGCAUCACAUCGGUGUUCCAAAGCGCACACACUAAUCCUUAUGGCAUGCCAAUUGUAUCUUAAUUGCUCUACUAAGCUUACUAGAUCAGCUUACUUAUUUAAUUAAUUAAAAUCGAUGUCACAUGAUGAUUCUCAUGCACAUAUACACGUCACAUACACAUAUUCACCGAUUUUUAUUUUUAAACUCUUAUCGUUCUUCAAUUACCAAAUUCACUCUUUAAGAGCUCAUAAAACCAUUCAUUAACAAUUUAUACUCUUUUCACUUAUUCACUUAUCACUUAGGUGAAUUAUAUCACUAAUUCACAUUCAUAUAUAUAUAUAUAUAUAUAUAUAAAUAUGUCAAUAUGCAUUUCUCAACAAGGUAUUUUAGCCAUUACUUCACAAUUUCUCUAGCAACAUUUUACAUAUAUUAUCACUAUAUCUCAUUCUCAAUGCUCAAUACAACAUUUAAAUUUGCAUCUUAUGUAACACAUUUCUCAUUUUUCAGUUUCCACAAUUUAUCACAUCUUCUUCGUUGUAUUGCAUGGCUAAUUUUUUGCUAAUUUAUGACAAUUAAUCACAUUUUAUUAUUUUUUAAGAACACCUUUUUUACUCAAUAUACUACUGACAUUAAAAUUUUCAUAACACUUUAAUAGUUCUUUUUUUUAUGUAAUUAAAGUCAAAGCUUAUUACUACUGGAAUUUUCUUGCUAUUAAUGACAAAUUUCAAGCCAUGGUUUUUCACAUAAUAAUACACAUAAUCACUUCAACCCUUCAUUUUACUAAUUAUUCAAACUCGUAAUUAUGUUAUUUAAGAGAAAGAAAAUUCAAGUAUACUUACCUAGGUAAUCAUUAACAAAACAAGGCUUCUCUCUAACCCUUCAUUUUCACUUUCUCCAUGCUUGGAACCCUUCUCUCCUCUUCUUUCUCUUUUUCUCCACCCAACACAAGAAUAUACUCAAGUUAUCAAAGCAUGCUCAUCACGUUUUAAACACAACCUUAAAUAAAGAAGGUGAAAAUUCUGAAAAACAUGUUUCUUACCUUUACCGAAACUUUCUCUCUCUAGUCGAAGUUUUCUCUUUCUAAACCAUGAAACCCUAGACUUUAAUGAAGAAGAUGAUGGCAGGAAUGGGUUGAUUUAAAGAGGAGAUGAGAAGAAUGAAAAGAGACCUUUUUUUUUCUCCUACAAGAGAGGGAGGGGCGGCACACUUUAGUAGGAGAGUUCAAAUUUUGGUUAAAAUCGAAUUAACCGAUUGAACUUAUCUAAUUUGGUUAAUCGGCUGGUUAACCGAUUUAGUUCAGACAGUCGAUUAAAAGUUUUUUAAAAUUUCAUAUUCGAAGUUGCGAUCGGAUCGAUUCUUUUUAAUAAAUCAAUUCAAUACAUUUCUUAUGUACCCAUAGGUGCUAUAUUGGAUUUGAAAACGGUUAAUUCGAUUCUAAAUCGAGUAAUUAAAUAAAUUAACUUAACUUAAUAAAUAAUAUUAUAUAUUAUAUGUAUUAGACUAUAACUAAUUCUGUUAACUCAGUUAAUUUAGAAAAUUCAGUCAAAUGAACAUUAUCCAUUAUUUUUUUGAUAUGUUUUAGACUUGUUUUAACAAAAAAAAACCCAAAACAUAUAAAUUUUGAUUAAUUCGGUUAACCGAAAUAUAUCAGUUCGAUUAAUUUUUUUGAAAAAAAUUUAGUUCAGUUAAAAUAUUAAUUUAAUUAAUUUUAAUUCGAUUCGGUUAACCGUUUGAACACUCUGGGGAAAUCUCAUCUUUCUGUUCUCAUUUAUCCCAUUUUAAAAUGGGUGGUCAAAAGUCAAAGUCAAAAGUCAAAUGAUUUUAUACUCAUCCAGUGGCCACAAUCAAACCCAACAAUUUAAUAUCUCAUUAUUAUAAUAUUUUAAACACAAUUUCAUGAAAAAAUAUUAAAAUACUUUUUUUAUGAAAAAAUUGCACUUUAACCCUUUUUAUCACUUUUACAUUUUUUUUUAUUUCCAUUCACGACACUUAACAAAUCAAGAUUUCCAUAAUUCAUACUUAUCAUCCAUAAUUAUUGAUUAUUCAUGUAAAAAAUUACAUUUACGUCAUUUUUCAGUAAAAUGGAACAAUUACAAAUUAGACCCUAUACUCUUCACUUUCAUUCAAGUUAGUCCAAUCGAGGCUUCCUUUAACACUAAUGUAUAUUUGAUGUAAUCCUUCGUGCUGCUGAGAAUUCAAGGGUAUAUGGGUAGCUGUUGAAAUUGGAGGUUUAUACAAAUAUGCGUUGAAAACAAGGGAAAUGGAGAUUUUAAGAGACAUUGAAAAUAGACCUUCCAUCUUUUUUAAUUUAUUUUUUAAUUUAAUUUAAUGGGUUUUAACUUUGCUUCCAAUAAUCACAAGCCAUUUUUCUUGUCUUCUGACUUUAAUUUUUCAUAAUAACAAUAAUAAUAUAUUUGGAGUUUUUUUUGCAAUAAUUUUCAUUUGAUACCAUCAACUUCUUUGUUGCUUGGAAGCUUUUUUCAUGUCCCUCCUCUUUCUGUCUUUGAUAAUUCUUAUUUGCUGUUUGUUUCUCGAGAAAGUUUAUAGAUAUAUAUUGUUUGAUAUUGAAUUUCAUAUCUUUUUACUCUAUUAAAGAAGUUAAACCUCAUACUUUAAUUUGUCAAAAUUUUGACAUUCCCACUUCAAAACUUUAAGAAGUUAAUCUAAGGGUAAACUAUUAAAAUAGUCACUUUUGUUUGUUUCAGAUUACAUUUUAGCCACUUAUGUUUGAAAUGUUACGUUUUAGUCACUUACGUUAUCGUGUUGUAAUAUUUUAGACACGUUAAAUAAUCAUUUCAAACAAAAAUUUUAGGUUAAAUUAUACAAUUGGUCACUAUAUAUAUUUUUUUGGUUUGAGCAAUUUAAUAUUUUCUUUUAUGUUUUUUAACUUUAUUUUUCUUUAUUUUUCAUUCUCUUCUGCUACUCCCUCUAUUUUCCUCACUUCUCUAUUUCUUUUAACAUAGUUUUUCUAUGUUUUCCAUCUGUUAAAACUAGUCCCUAUACUUUUAUUUUUUUGAACAUUUUAAUUUUUUUCUUUUUAUUUCUUUAUUUGUUAAAGAAAAAUAUCCUUGAUUACAUAGAAAAACUACGUUAAAAGAAAUGGAGAAGGGAGGAAAACAUAGGAAGAAGCAAAAGAGAAUAGAAAAUAAAGAAAAAAAAAAUAAAGUUAAAAGAACAUAAAAGAAAAGAAUUAAAUUGCUUAAAACGAAAAAAAUAUAGGGACCAAUUGUAUAAUUUAAUCUAAAAUUUUCAUUUGAAAUGAUGAUUUAAUGUGUCACGUAACAUUUCAAAUAUAAAUGACUAAAAUGUAACCUGAGGCAAACAAAAGUGAUUAUUUUGAGAGUUUACCCUUAAUCUAAUUAUCGAUAAAAUAUGAAUUUAAAUUGCUGAUUUUCAUUAUUUGUUUUAUAUAAAUUGUCGAAUUGGAAAUGUUUAAUUCAUUACAUAUAGAUUGUUGAACUAUUGAUUUUUAUGUAAGCGAUUUAAUGAUAAGGUUUAACAAGGUUACCGAAUUGAACAAACAUCUUACGUUUUAAAAGGAAAGAGGAUCAAAAUGUAAUAAAUUGAAAUAGAAUGACAUAAAAUAGAAUUAUGAAAUUUUUCCUUCCCUACAAAAUAUGGAACUUAGAUCUCAAUCUAAUCUCAAUAAACAUUUGAACCUAAUCAUUGGUUUAGGGUUUAUGAAAGUUUAAUUUAACGUAAAAUAGAUCGAGAGAUUGUGAAUUGUAGCAAAAGAUCUUAAUCUUAGUUGUAAAGAUUUUAUUCUCAUUUUAUUUUGAAAAUUUUGUGAUAGUUUUUUUUUUAAUUUAAAUUUAUAAAUGUUAAUAUAAAAUGUAUUUUAAAAAAAUAUUUAUUUUAUUUCACAAGAUAUAACGAGCCAGUAAUUAAUCUUUUGUAUUCUGUUGGUUGAUAGAUGAAUAAAAAAUUAGAAAUAAGUUUAAAAAAAUUUGAAUUGAAAAGAUGAUGUAUGCUUGUAGUUAAAGUUGUAGGAUAAUUUUAAAAAAACCGAACUUGUAUCCUCUUGUAGGACGUUGUUAUGGGUAAAAGUACUAUGGAGUAUACUAUAUUAGGAUUCUUAUUAUAUUUUGCCUUUUUCUAUAAAAAACGAACAAAUUAAUAUUUGUGCAUUAGGUCAAAGAGCAAACUAGUCUUUUAUUUAAAAAUUCAUUUACUUUUUUUGUUAAGUGCUGACGCUGCUGAUAGAACAUCUAGACAGUGACACUUGGCGUGCUAUGUGUACCUCAUGUUGAUAUUGAUGGAUUAAUUCAAGCAACUAGAUAGUAAUACGCCAUCACUUAAUAAUAGAAAUUGAAGAAAUUUUUAAUAGAAUGACCAACUUGUUCUUUGAUAUAAUGUACAUGCCUAAUUUGUCCAUUUUUUUACUAGAGAGGGCAAAAUACAAUUCAACUUUUAAUACAAAGGUCUCCAUGGUGCUUUUAUUGUCAUUAUCCUUUAUCAAAUGUCAAUAAUUUUAACAAAUAACUAGGAGGCCAUGUUAUGGGAAUUGAUUGCAUAUUGUCUAUUCUACAUAAAAAAACAGAUCAUUAUAUAUAUAUAUAUAUAUAUAUAUAUGUAAUUAUCUAGUUAUUCGUUAUACCAAUUUUUAACCGGAGAAAUAGAAUUCUAGAGGGACUACUUUGGUAAAGAAAACAAAAUAUAAAAUCUAACUCUAUGAUGAGAUAAUCAAAUGAGAAGACAUUUGUGAAUGAAUUUGCAUAUCAUUUACACCAUAAUGUACCAUUAUAGAGAAAGAUUAAAGUCUAAGAAAUUUGGUAAUUUAAUUAAUUAACCUAACAUCUUACAAAAGAUUCAUAAAAGCCCAAAGCCAAAAAUAGCCCCAGCUGAAUCUCUCUCCCUCUCUUCUCUGUUAUUCUCCCAAAUCUCACCACACCCAACCUUCUCUUCUCUGAAAACCCAGAAAAAACCUCUGUGUGUUUCACAACUUUUAACUAUUGUUGAAGUUAAAAUGGAGAAUCCUUCAAAAACCCUUUAUGGGUUCACCGCCAUUCUCCUCAAAAUCGCCUAAAAAUCCUCUUUUCCCCCAGGUUUUCAGCCAUGGAAAUGGUGACUCAUUAACGAAAGUUUCUUUCAAGGCAAUGUGGAAAACAACGUAGAUUCCUUUGCAGUCUCUGAUGAUGGUGGCUGCAUUGUCUCGUCCACCAACUCCUUCACGCCCCACUGUUGAACCACAGAAAGAAACAAAUAGUACCCAUCAAAAGCCCCCUCUCAAAGGCAAUGGCUCCACUGUUACGAGAAAGUCCAGAGGACGACAAGUUUCUUCAAGGUAUUUGUCUCCUUCUCCUUCAUCGUCUUCUUCCACUUCUUCUACUUCAUCGGCGGCCAAACCAACGGCGAGAUUUCCUUCGCCCCUUAUAUCUCGUUCCACUAAUACUAUGUCGACGGGGAACAAAGCAGCUGCGAGAUUCCAUUCCCCGCUUGUUUCUCGUUCAACGAAUGCUAGUACGACGUCGUCUUCGCUUCCUAAACGGUCUCAAUCCGUCGACCGGAGGCGGCCGGGGAGUCAAUUGCCGCCGGGAAAUAACAAUGCUAAUGGCUCCACGGAAUUGUCAGCAGCUACCAAGAUGUUGAUUACUUCAACGCGAAGUUUGUCGGUUUCGUUUCAAGGCGAGUCCUAUUCGCUUCCGAUCAGUAAGGCUAAGGCUCAAGUGGGUUCUACUCUGAUAAGGAAAGCAACACCCGAAAGGCGUAGAGCUACUCCGGUGAGAGAUCACGGGGAGAACUCGAAACCUGCGGAUCAGCAACUCUGGCCGGCCAGAAACCGGAAAGGGAAUUCCGGUCCGGGUUCGGGUUCAAACCUGUUGUCUAGGAGCUUUGAUUGUAGUGGUGAAAGGAAGGAUUUUGGAUCUGGGGCAGUGCUGGCUAAGUCACUGCAACAAUCAAUGAUGCUUGAUGAGAGUAGCAAAAGGGUUUCUUUUGAUGGUAGUAGAUUGAGUUUGG